ensembl:snRNA U6 U6 spliceosomal RNA
GUACUUGCUUUGGCAGCACAUACACUAAAAUUGGAAUGAUACUUAGAAGAUCAGCAUGGCCCCUGUACAAGGAUGACAUACGAAUUCGUGAAGCAUUCAUUCCAUAUUUUU